GAUUAAGUUAUUAAGGGCGCACGGUGGAUGCCUUGGCACUAGAAGCCGAUGAAGGACGUUACUAACGACGAUAUGCUUUGGGGAGCUGUAAGUAAGCUUUGAUCCAGAGAUUUCCGAAUGGGGAAACCCAGCAUGAGUUAUGUCAUGUUAUCGAUAUGUGAAUACAUAGCAUAUCAGAAGGCACACCCGGAGAACUGAAACAUCUUAGUACCCGGAGGAAGAGAAAGAAAAUUCGAUUCCCUUAGUAGCGGCGAGCGAAACGGGAAGAGCCCAAACCAAAAAGCUUGCUUGUUGGGGUUGUAGGACACUCUAUACGGAGUUACAAAGGACGACAUUAGACGAAUCAUCUGGAAAGAUGAAUCAAAGAAGGUAAUAAUCCUGUAGUCGAAAAUGUUGUCUCUCUUGAGUGGAUCCUGAGUACGACGGAGCACGUGAAAUUCCGUCGGAAUCUGGGAGGACCAUCUCCUAAGGCUAAAUACUCUCUAGUGACCGAUAGUGAACCAGUACCGUGAGGGAAAGGUGAAAAGCACCCCGGAAGGGGAGUGAAAUAGAACCUGAAACCGUGUGCUUACAAGUAGUCAGAGCCCGUUAAUGGGUGAUGGCGUGCCUUUUGUAGAAUGAACCGGCGAGUUACGAUUUGAUGCAAGGUUAAGCAGUAAAUGUGGAGCCGUAGCGAAAGCGAGUCUGAAUAGGGCGUUUAGUAUUUGGUCGUAGACCCGAAACCAGGUGAUCUACCCUUGGUCAGGUUGAAGUUCAGGUAACACUGAAUGGAGGACCGAACCGACUUACGUUGAAAAGUGAGCGGAUGAACUGAGGGUAGCGGAGAAAUUCCAAUCGAACCUGGAGAUAGCUGGUUCUCUCCGAAAUAGCUUUAGGGCUAGCCUCAAGUGAUGAUUAUUGGAGGUAGAGCACUGUUUGGACGAGGGGCCCCUCUCGGGUUACCGAAUUCAGACAAACUCCGAAUGCCAAUUAAUUUAACUUGGGAGUCAGAACAUGGGUGAUAAGGUCCGUGUUCGAAAGGGAAACAGCCCAGACCACCAGCUAAGG
rnacentral:rRNA from 2 species